AAUAUCAACACCAUCACUGAGUGAGAAUUGACACCACACUGCCUGCACUAAAGCCAGGUGUGUGUACCACUACACCAUCAGUGACCUUACGAUGGAACAAUUUUUAAAAACCUCACAUUUCUUUGAGAUUUAUUAGCUCUGUGCAGAAGAAUGACAAUGUUCGUCAAGCAUCAUUUAUGCUCUAUUUUUUACAUUCCACACUGGGGCCAGGUAGAGUAUGUUGUGUAAGAGUGUUUGUAUUCGGGGGCCUGCUGUCACACACCAAGCCAACAACACCACAGCAUGUGGUUACGUGGCUGACAAUGUGCUGGAAGACACCCACUGGUGCACGGCGUUCCGUUCGACAUCUUAGCAAGACUUCGCUACCUUGGCAUAGCGACGGCGUGUUGCUUUUGGAUGGAAGGAGGAAUCGUGGACUUUCCGGCAUGAAGACGACGCCAAUGAGAGCGGCCAGAGCGGGAAAGAGACACACCAGGAUAAAGAGUCUCCAGCUGUGCAUCUGGAACUCUGUGCCGAUGGCAAAGCCCCACCCUUGCAGCACAUGGAAGACAUUUCAUAACAAACCCUGCAACAAGGCCCAUUUGACCCCAAAUUUUCUUCAAAGUCAACAGCACGUACUGUGGUCGUUCAUCGAACAGUACAUUGGGGCUUGUUGAGGGAUGAUCCCCCAGGCGGUGAAGGAGGCAUAGAGGCCACCCAUCAUCCAGAACAUGCAGAGCCAGCUCAGAUGUUCGCCACGUUUGUCCAUCUGCAGGAACUCGGUGAAAAACUGACUUCACUCUGAUGCCAGCGAUCAAGAUGCCUGAAUAUUCAUGCAGCUGGAAUACGAAAUAAAGGUCAACGUCGUAAAACGUC